rnacentral:rRNA from 1 species
UGAAGAAGCUUGCUUCUGAUUGAUAACAUUUGAGUGAGUGGCGGACGGGUGAGUAACACGUGGGUAACCUGCCCUAAAGUGGGGGAUAACAUUUGGAAACAGAUGCUAAUACCGCAUAAAACCUAGCACCGCAUGGUGCAAGGUUGAAAGAUGGUUUCGGCUAUCACUUUAGGAUGGACCCGCGGUGCAUUAGUUAGUUGGUGAGGUAAAGGCUCACCAAGACCGUGAUGCAUAGCCGACCUGAGAGGGUAAUCGGCCACACUGGGACUGAGACACGGCCCAGACUCCUACGGGAGGCAGCAGUAGGGAAUCUUCCACAAUGGACGAAAGUCUGAUGGAGCAACGCCGCGUGAGUGAAGAAGGUUUUCGGAUCGUAAAACUCUGUUGUUGGAGAAGAACGUAUUUGAUAGUAACUGAUCAGGUAGUGACGGUAUCCAACCAGAAAGCCACGGCUAACUACGUGCCAGCAGCCGCGGUAAUACGUAGGUGGCAAGCGUUGUCCGGAUUUAUUGGGCGUAAAGCGAGCGCAGGCGGUUUCUUAAGUCUGAUGUGAAAGCCUUCGGCUCAACCGAAGAAGUGCAUCGGAAACUGGGAAACUUGAGUGCAGAAGAGGACAGUGGAACUCCAUGGGUAG